GACGAACGCUGGCGGCGCGCUUAACACAUGCAAGUCGAACGGAAAGGCCUGCUUUCCCUUGUGGAUUGCGGGUACUCGAGUGGCGAACGGGUGAGUAACACGUGAGUGAUCUGCCCCCAACUUGGGUAUAAGCCUGGGAAACUGGGUCUAAUUCCCGAUAGGACUGCAGGGUGGUGCCUGUGGUGGAAAACGAUUUUCUAGUGGUUGGGGAUGAGCUCGCGGCCUAUCAGCUUGUUGGUGGGGUAAUGGCCUACCAAGGCGGCGACGGGUAGCCGGCCUGAGAGGGUGGACGGCCACAUUGGGACUGAGAUACGGCCCAGACUCCUACGGGAGGCAGCAGUUGGGAAUAUUGCACAAUGGGCGGAAGCCUGAUGCAGCGACGCCGCGUGGGGGAUGACGGCCUUCGGGUUGUAAACUCCUUUCGACCGCGAGGAAGCCACCUGGUUGGAAGGGUGGUGACGGUAGUGGUAGAAGAAGCACCGGCUAACUACGU
rnacentral:rRNA from 1 species